rnacentral:lncRNA from 1 species
CUUCUUCAACCAAUACGAGAUGCAGAAAAGGUGUUGGCAAAGUAUGAUAUUUAUAUUGUUCCUGUAGUCAAUGUUGAUGGAUAUGAACAUACGCAUGUUGGUGAAAGGUUAUGGCGAAAAACUCGAAGUAAUUGUUCACCUAAUACUAGAUGUUGUGGAGUGGAUCCGAACAGAAACUGGGACAAUAACUUUGGAGGACCUGGAACUAGUACAAAUCCAUGUAGUGAUAUUUAUCCAG